AGUUUAGAUCUUGUGUAAAUCC
rnacentral:snRNA from 1 species